rnacentral:ncRNA from 1 species
UGCGAUAAAGGCAAACCCUGAGAAAUCAGGGGACGCAAAGCAACGGAUCUAAAGGACGCCCGACUUUAUCCCGAUGUAGUAAAUCGGGACAGUCCGGACGAAAAUUAAAGGAGUCCAAUGAUAGCCGAGCUGCCGAAA